rnacentral:ncRNA from 1 species
UACCUGGUUGAUCCUGCCAGUAGUCAUAUGCUUGGCUCAAAGAUUAAGCCAUGCAAGUCUAAGUACGAGCUCUCGUACAGUGAAACUGCGAAUGGCUCAUUAAAUCAGUUAUGGUUCAUUUGAUCGUACAGUUUACUUGGAUAACUGUGGUAAUUCUAGAGCUAAUACAUGCGAGAAGCGCCGACCUCGCGGGAGGCGUGCAUUUAUCAGACCAAAAACCGGCCGCGUCUUCGGGCGCGUUCGCCUUGGUGACUCUGGAUAACUUUGCGGAUCGCACGGUCUAGCACCGGCGACGGAUCAUUCAAGUGUCUGCCCUAUCAACUUUCGUCGGUACGGUAUUUGCCUACCGAGGUUCUUACGGGUGACGGGGAAUCAGGGUUCGAUUCCGGAGAGGGAGCCUGAGAAACGGCUACCACAUCCAAGGAAGGCAGCAGGCGCGCAAAUUACCCAUUCCCGACGCGGGGAGGUAGUGACGAAAAAUAACAAUGCAGGACUCGUUCGAGGCCCUGUAAUUGGAAUGAGUACACUUUAAAAGCUUUAACGAGUAUCCAUUGGAGGGCAAGUCUGGUGCCAGCAGCCGCGGUAAUUCCAGCUCCAAAAGUAUAUAUUUAAGUUGUUGCGGUUAAAAAGCUCGUAGUUGGAUUUUGGGCGCAAGC